rnacentral:rRNA from 1 species
UACAGAGGUCUCAAGCGUUGUUCGGAUUCAUUGGGCGUAAAGGGCGCGUAGGCGGCCCUCUUAGUCGCGUGUGAAAGCCCCGGGCUCAACCUGGGAACGGCGCGCGAAACGGGAGGGCUGGAGUUCGGGAGAGGAGAGUGGAAUUCCCAGUGUAGAGGUGAAAUUCGUAGAUAUUGGGAAGAACACCGGUGGCGAAGGCGGCUCUCUGGACCGAGACUGACGCUGAGGCGCGAAAGCGUGGGGAGCAAACAGG